AGGUGUGAUGGAGAAGAAGUUUUCAGUGGUGUGCAAUACAUUGUACAGAAGGAUUAAGCACUUCAUGGAAGCACUGUCAGAACUAGAAGAAUACUUGGUAUACACAAGUGGAUUUUCCUGAAAGCUCUAAUGGCAUGAACGGUUUCUAAUAAUGGGAAUGUCAGGCAUCCUGAUGACAGAUUUCCUGGCAACUGUAGUGCAACAGAUAGAGAGAUGGUUGAAUGCUGCUUCUCAGUUGAAGGAAAAUGGCCAAAAAAUGUAGGAACAAAUGCUUUUAGCUUAUUGAGUGAUGAGUUGGAACACUUUGUCAGUGCUGCCUGACAUGUGGAUGAUCUGUAACUGGAAGGAAGUGUAACACCUGAAGAGUUUUUGUGACUUGGAGUGGGAUGCCAUGCUUUUAAAAGCCUGCUGAAACAGCUGCUGCAAUUUUGUUUAGUAGAUACUGUUUUCAGAAACUGCGUGUGAACUAAAAUCACUGUCUCUGCAUAUUUAAAAUAGCACUUUUCCCGAACAUUGAGCUGCCCUCUGUAGGAAGGAUAGCAGCAAUAUUAGGGAAAUGUGUUGAGCUUCAACACAUGAAAAAACCGUGAGAGUAUUUGGUGUUUUAAAAUAUCAUAAGGGCAUACAGACUUGCUGAUACUGAAGAUCUGUAAUAACUCAAAACAGUGGAACUGACAGGUAGGCCCUGUAAAGAUGGGGAGAAAGCAAAAUGGGUACACAUUCAAACCAAUGAGUCUGCUUUUGGAGGGUGGUGUCCUCCAGGAGAUAGGAGGGAGUAGAUGAGGUGAUGGUGGUAUGGAAGCAUAAACAUGAAACACUUGUAAGAAAGAAAUUCAGGUGUUGUGAGGAAAGUCAUGGUUACAGAAAAGGCAAGGUCUAAAGCUUGCAUUGCUGUCUGUAUCUAGUGAGGGAGAGAGGAAUUGGGGUUUUAUGGGCUGCAACUUUAGCAUGAAAAGAUGAGUACCACAACAGUGGAACUGCCCUUUGAGGAAUACGCUGUCAAUGUUACCUGCUUGCUGUGUGGGGAAAAAGGUCAGUAGUGGGAGAAGGGAGUACACUCAUUGCAAGUUGUGCUUUGAGCAGUCACUUGAAAACUAAUGGUGCUGUAUCACAGUAACAGCGUAUUUGCUGUAUUCGGCAAACUGGCAGUCUUCCAUAGAGGAAUGAGGGAUCAUAAAUUGGUCACCAAGUAAAUUGGAUUUUAAAGACACAUCAUUAUGUAUGUAAGAUGCAAUCUGCCUUAAAGCAUCACUCUCAAACCUAAUUGUCAGGAAUGCUUUAUAAAGGAAGAAACGUGAGAACGGCAUGAUACCUAAAAAUUGCUAGAGCUACAGUUACUGAGUCAUUUCAAAAUGCACCAAAAUACAGAAAAACUACACUAUAGUCUGCUGCAGCCAAAAAUGACAGUGUUGGAUGCAAGUAGCUCUCUUCCUUUGGAGCUUCCUUUGGAGAGUUGGAGGAAUUCCAGUAGCUCAUGGAAUGUGCCUAUUCCUAAAUGACAAAUUCCAUGAAAAGCCCAACUUUCUGUCUAAGCAGUAUCAUGAAGUGCAAAACACUACCAGUAGCAGUGCCUAAAGCAUUGGGAAUGUCAAAACCAAGCAUCCAUCUGACUACUAAAAUGUACGCUAAGGAUCUGACUGAACUCCAGGAGUGUAUUGGCUCACUGAGCAUCUCCUAUGCUUUGGUUAUUGUUAAUAAGCAAUAACCAGGUACUUUGGCUAAAGGCUGCUCCUUUUCAGCAAGCAACUGUGUGUAUCAGUCUAUUGAAUGUAUCGGAAUCUGCAAAAACUUACUACAGAACGGCUUUCCCUUUGUUGCUUUCCACAGGAUUUAUUAUUUCUGUUUAACAGAUGUUACUGAGAAGAGUAGAUAUUUCCAUGUGCCAUGUUUUGUACAUGCUCUUUCUUGAAUAAAGAUGAGGGUGUGAAAAACCUA